rnacentral:rRNA from 1 species
AUUGAACGCUGGCGGAAUGCUUUACACAUGCAAGUCGAACGGCAGCACGGACUUCGGUCUGGUGGCGAGUGGCGAACGGGUGAGUAACAUAUCGGAACGUAUCCAAUAAUGGGGGAUAACUAAUCGAAAGGUUGGCUAAUACCGCAUACGCCCUACGGGGGAAAGCUAGGGACCUUCGGGCCUGGCGUUAAUGGAGCGGCCGAUAUCCGAUUAGCUAGUUGGUGGGGUAAAGGCCCACCAAGGCGACGAUCAGUAGCUGGUCUGAGAGGACGACCAGCCACACUGGAACUGAGACACGGUCCAGACUCCUACGGGAGGCAGCAGUGGGGAAUUUUGGACAAUGGGCGCAAGCCUGAUCCAGCCAUUCCGCGUGAGUGAAGAAGGCCUUCGGGUUGUAAAGCUCUUUCGCAAGGGAAGAAAACUUAUCCUCUAACAUGGGGUGAGGUUGACGGUACCUUGAUAAGAAGCACCGGCUAACUACGUGCCAGCAGCCGCAGUAACAC